GACCGCGUAGCUCAGUUGGAAGAGCAUUGGGCUGGUAUUCCAAAGGUCGUAGGUUCGAAUCCCACCGCGGCCG
rnacentral:tRNA from 1 species